UAUACAUAAUCAUCAUCUUUCCCUUCUCCCACAACUCCAACACCAUCUCUCGCUUACGCCAUUACUUCUCUCCCUUAAUAUCUGCUCCUUCUUCUUUUCUUGUUCUUUUUUUUUGUUCUCAAGAUAAUCAUCAAUUUCAUGCUUUCCAUCUUCUGGGUUCUUGAUGUUUAUUUUGCUUCAAUUUUCCGUAUGGAACGGGCAUUGGGCUGUUUCUGUAUCGAUUUUUGUUCUCACGGCUCUAAGAGGAUCGGGUUCUUUAUAGCAAUGCAGAUUGUCACAUAGUUUAAUUCUUUCGAAGCAAGUGUAUUUGACUUACAGGUACAUGACUUAGUAGGGAUUUUGGGAUGAGAGUUACGGAGAUGACAAUAUUGAAGAUAACCCAUUACGUCAUACUUUUGUAAACUUUUGAUGACUAAUGUAGAUAUACUGGUAUUUUGGGACCGUAUUUUGAGACACGUUAUCUCCGUCUGUGGUUAUGUAUUUAUCUUUUGGCAAAUUUUAUUAGCUGCUCUGGUUUAUAGAAUGCGUUGUUUUUUUACCACUUGUGGCAUCUCACGUCUUUGACCACGCGGGACGGGGGUGUUACAUAAGUAAUUGAUGGAUGGGAUAUGAACAUAAAGUUCAUCCUUUAUUAAAGUAAUACUAUGAGAUUUU